CUAGCCUGAGGGGUUGUGAGCCCUGGGAGCUCCUUCAUUCCCCAGGAACAGCUGCAAGGCUGUAGAACAGCAUCUGAUUGGUCCGAUCCAAAGAUGGAGAUAACUAACCUGAGGGUUUGUGAGCCUUAGGAGCUCCUCCAUUCCCCAGGAACAGCUGCAAGGCCCCUGCAGCAAAGUCCAGGAGAGUUUUUUUCCCCCCAGCAACUGAUAUUGUUCCAGCAGCAAAGAGGAGGACACAGGACGGUUCAUCAGCACGGGCUGCGUAAGGUUCGUCCCUAGAUCGGCUGCACCACGAUGCUGCCAGAGGAGAGGGGAGCUUGCUCUUGGGGGUUGGAUGCGCUUGAACCACUAAUGAACCACUAACCAAAUGGGGGCUUCUCUUUGUGCUUCUCUUCCCUGGAGAGGCAUCAGGGCACUGGGGGUGGGGGUUACGGUUGCCAACCCUCCCAUUUUCACUGGUAGACUCCCAGAACCAGGCUCUAUCUCCUGAAGGCUCCUGAAGCCAAACGGGGAGAUUUUCGGCCGCUGAAAGUCCAGUGGCGAAGCAGUGCUAAGGCAGGUUCUCUGCCUACCCUGGAUCCACGCUACUCCCGGAAGUGGCACG